rnacentral:lncRNA from 1 species
CCAUUCACUAAAGCCAUUCCGGUGAAGGAGUUCAACGACUACAAGUCGAAGAUGGAUAUUAGAUACUGCACCGAUUGGCUUUAGGCCAAGUGGGAGAUUGUUGGGAAUAGUGUCCCAAAGCCAAUCGUCAGCCUGUUGACGGUUGUGCUCCUUUUGUAAUAGUACAUGAAUUAUAAAUAAAUAAAAGUUAUUUUGGUAUUUUUUCAUCACAAAUGUUUCAUCUUCUAAUGAACUCCUGUGUUGUGGUGAAGUCCUUAGGAUUAUUUAGACUCGACAAAGGAGGAUUUGUCGCUUAGUCCUUAAACCUGUUCG